GAAAAGCUGAGGAAGGGAAAUGGGCUCUAGGGAUGCCUGGUAGAGGAGGCUUUGGCAGGGUCAGGGAGUGACCUAUGAAAACUUGCCUGCAGUACAGCAAGUUGUGUGGCAGUAAGUCUGGGAAGAUCCCUGCAGUGGGCCAGAGAGAACAGACAGAGACAGAGUCAGACACAGGCUGAGCCCAGGGAGACAGGAGAUUGUGCAAGGCAGGAAGUGGUCCAGGGUGAUGCACCUUGGCUGCUUGCUACAGGGUCUGUGAACUGGAACCCAGAUAAGAGAGGGUCUGGAUUCCCCUGUGGGCCCCCAAUCAGGGCUAUUGAAACCUUCCCCGAGACAAGCGGGAAGGACUACCAGGCUAAGAGUCAGUGCAAUGGCUUCACUCUGUCUUCAACCUCUCCUGCUGUUGGAUUCUUGGCUUAUCCUGGAAGAGCGACGACAAAAUGUGACCUGGCUGGAGAACCGAGUCACAAGAUGAAGUAGCAUCUAGACCACCAGCAGACCUGAAGGGCCAUGUGGCUGGAGCAUCAGAGAGACCACCUUGCACGGCUGUGCCUGCUGACUGCCUCUGGGAAGUCCUGAUGUCUAAUUAGCAUGCUGCCCAUUGAACAAACAGCCAUUUGUGAGCCGGCAUGCCUAGAUGCUUGAGUGGCAGAACAUGUUAAAACAGGACUUAAAGAAACUGGAGAGUUCCAGAUGGACUGAAAAGAGGCCGAUUGAUAAAAGUGACAGCUUGCUUCAGAAAUCUUGCAUUGGCUCCAGUGGCCUCCAGUCCAGGAGGAUGUGGAAUUGCAUUUUGUGGAUGUGUGUGUUUUGCUCUGGGGGAAGGAGGGGAGGCAAGAGGGGAAGUGCCAUGUGACUACCACUUAUUUUAUAAUCUGAGUGGCCUAGUUUAAUUCCUCAAAACAUGGGCAUUCUUGGAAAAUAAUAAUACACUGCUCUCCUGUC